UUAAAAAAAAAAAAAGGCUUCUGAUAGUAUUAAUUUAUAAUAAUUUUCAUGCUGAGGGUACAAUGAAAAGUUAGAAGCUUACAAAUGUUGGGACCAUUGCAUUGCAUAAGCAAGCCUACUACCAUAUUGCCACCACAAUUAAGUAAUUCAACUUAAAUUACAAAAUAGUACUUUGUAAUUAAUGUUAAAAAGCGCUCCAAAUGAUACUUUGGGACCAUUCCGUGUUGACUACCUGGUAAGAACUAGUAAUUUCUUGUGUCAUGGCAACAAAUAAUACUACUGAUGAUUCCCAUAGCGGCAUGUAAUUUCUUCCCCUUCUAUUAAUCUUUCCACUGCAUCUGCAGGAAGACCAAUCAUCUCCAAUGUCUUCUCCCACAAUUUAUGAGAAGUCUCGAUGCUGUGUGCUUCUUCCGAAGGAUUUGCUGGUCGACAAUCUUGAGAGAUGAAUGCACAUACAGGCCAGUCGUCUGAUUUUAACAAAUCACAGUAUUCUGGAAUCUGAGGAUCGGUGGCUGAAAAGAGAGCACUCCUUGACCCUUCUUGAGCACUAAAGAUAAAAUAGGGUAUUAAGUGAUAAGCUGCUUGCACGAAUCUGGAAAGAUCCCUUGCAACAUUUGUAUGGACAACUCCAGGUGAUACACAAACUACACUAAUGCCAGAUUCUGCAGGAAGGCGCCUCUGAAGAACACUACUAAACAUGACCUGUGCCAACUUGCUGCUAGCAUAUCCCACUAAGCUUGUAUACUUUCGCUUCCCAGAAACAACAUUCAUGUCUUCAGUGUCAACAAAGCCAACAUAAUGCAUAACUGAAUUCACAUUGAUAAUUCGGCUGGGAGAGCCUCUAAUUAGGGAUGGCAAAAGCAAUAUCGUAAGCAAUGCCGGAGCUAGAUGAUUCACUUGCAUGUGUUCUUCAUACCCAUCUUUUGAAAACUUUUGUGGUUCUCCAAUGGAAAAUAUCCCAGC
rnacentral:misc_RNA from 1 species